UUUCCGUAGGUGAACCUGCGGAGGGAUCAUUAUUGUAUAACAAAACUCCGAACACUGUCGAUGACCCCACACGGCUUGCACGCCCGAGGGCCCUCACACACAUCCAUCUCGCCGCUAUGUGCACCACCGCUGGGGUCCCCCUUUGGCUUCUUAGGAUGUGGGCUAACGUUUUCACACAGUCUUUUUAAGAAUUGUUGAAUGUAUUUUUUAUUUUUGCUAUCACUCCAUCAAUACAACUUUCAACAACGGAUCUCUUGGCUCUCGCAUCGAUGAAGCACG
rnacentral:misc_RNA from 1 species